rnacentral:tRNA from 1 species
GGAGACGUAUCGAAGCGGUCAUAACGGGGCGCACUCGAAAUGCGUUUGGCCUCCGGGCCACGAGGGUUCGAAUCCCUCCGUCUCCG